rfam:Hordeum vulgare subsp. vulgare, WGS project CAJW01000000 data, contig: morex_contig_1543125
CGUAACAAGGUUUCCGUAGGUGAACCUGCGGAAGGAUCAUUG